rnacentral:rRNA from 1 species
UACGAAGGGGGCUAGCGUUGUUCGGAAUUACUGGGCGUAAAGCGCACGUAGGCGGAUUGAUCAGUCAGGGGUGAAAUCCCAGGGCUCAACCCUGGAACUGCCUUUGAUACUGUCGAUCUGGAGUAUGGAAGAGGUGAGUGGAAUUCCGAGUGUAGAGGUGAAAUUCGUAGAUAUUCGGAGGAACACCAGUGGCGAAGGCGGCUCACUGGUCCAUUACUGACGCUGAGGUGCGAAAGCGUGGGGAGCAAACAGG